GACGAACGCUGGCGGCGUGCCUAAUACAUGCAAGUUGAGCGCUGAAGGUUGGUACUUGUACCAACUGGAUGAGCAGCGAACGGGUGAGUAACGCGUGGGGAAUCUGCCUUUGAGCGGGGGACAACAUUUGGAAACGAAUGCUAAUACCGCAUAAAAACUUUAAACACAAGUUUUAAGUUUGAAAGAUGCAAUUGCAUCACUCAAAGAUGAUCCCGCGUUGUAUUAGCUAGUUGGUGAGGUAAAGGCUCACCAAGGCGAUGAUACAUAGCCGACCUGAGAGGGUGAUCGGCCACAUUGGGACUGAGACACGGCCCAAACUCCUACGGGAGGCAGCAGUAGGGAAUCUUCGGCAAUGGACGAAAGUCUGACCGAGCAACGCCGCGUGAGUGAAGAAGGUUUUCGGAUCGUAAAACGCUGUCGGUAGAGAAGAACGUUGGUGAGAGUGGAAAGCUCAUCAAGUGACGGUAACGACCCAGAAAGGGACGGCUAACUACGUG
rnacentral:rRNA from 1 species